GAUGAACGCUGGCGGCGUGCCUAAUACAUGCAAGUCGAGCGAAUGGAUUGAGAGCUUGCUCUUAUGAAGUUAGCGGCGGACGGGUGAGUAACACGUGGGUAACCUGCCCAUAAGACUGGGAUAACUCCGGGAAACCGGGGCUAAUACCGGAUAACAUUUUGAACCGCAUGGUUCGAAAUUGAAAGGCGGCUUCGGCUGUCACUUAUGGAUGGACCCGCGUCGCAUUAGCUAGGUGGUGAGGUAACGGCUCACCAAGGCAACGAUGCGGAGCCGACCGGAGAGGGUGAUCGGCCACACUGGGACUGAGACACGGCCCAGACUCCUACGGGAGGCAGCAGUAGGGAAUCUUCCGCAAUGGACGAAAGUCUGACGGAGCAACGCCGCGUGAGUGAUGAAGGCUUUCGGGUCGUAAAACUCUGUUGUUAGGGAAGAACAAGUGCUAGUUGAAUAAGCUGGCACCUUGACGGUACCUAACCAGAAAGCCACGGCUAACUACGUGCCAGCCGCCGCCGUAA
rnacentral:rRNA from 1 species